GAUGGAGGCAAGAGGCUAGUACGAGGUUGUAGCAGUGCUUCCACAAGUUCAACUGGUUUCGUUGAAAAUUCCACAUACUCCCCACACACCCAAGCAGCAGCAGAUAAGAUCCUGUGCAAGAAAGAAUUCCCAAGUAAUGCAGGAUCAAUCAGCAGAUCACGACCAACACGAACAAGCUCCGGUCUAACAUCCUUAACCCUCAUACCUAUAUCAAUAAGCUGAUUCUCAAUUUCUUCCCCCUUUUGGCAAUGUGGAAUCCUAGACAUUUCCCCAAGCAGUGAUACAUACCAAUCAAAGUCUACUAUAAUCUCAUAUACGUUCUGGCAACACUUUGAUAAAAUUGAACCAAGAAUCUCAUUGCAGAACUCAGGAUCAGAUUUGAGUGAAUAAUUAACCAAAACCCUGCAAAUUUCCACCACAUUACUCUCAGACACCAUUGCCACAACAAGACGCAAAGACUCAAGUUUUACAUUAGGAUCAUCAUCACUCAGAGACUUGAUUAC
rnacentral:misc_RNA from 1 species